GGAUGCGAUCAUAUGAGCACCAAUGCACCGGAUCCCAUUAGAACUCCAAAGUUAAGCGUGCUUGGGCGAGAGUAGUACUAGGAUGGGUGAUUUCCUGGGAAGUCCUUCUGUUGCAUUCC